CGACUGACAGGAAUCGGCUCUCUUCUCCUACCAUAGAGUGAGGAAUCUGUGUCUCUGGCCUCUCUAGAGACAUCCUCCAGACUGGAUGUCUAUCUCCUGGCAAAGGCAGGACUCCUGGUCCCUAAAUCAUCAGCAGCCACAACCAGGAAACCCACGUCUUGAGAUCUUGGUAAGUAACCAGAGACUACACAAGUGGCCUGACAUCGUCACCACCAUGGAGGUAGUCAAAGAGAG
rnacentral:lncRNA from 1 species